rnacentral:rRNA from 1 species
GACGAACGCUGGCGGCGUGCUUAACACAUGCAAGUCGAACGGAAAGGCCCUGCUUUUGUGGGGUGCUCGAGUGGCGAACGGGUGAGUAACACGUGAGUAACCUGCCCUUGACUUUGGGAUAACUUCAGGAAACUGGGGCUAAUACCGGAUAGGAGCUCCUGCUGCAUGGUGGGGGUUGGAAAGUUUCGGCGGUUGGGGAUGGACUCGCGGCUUAUCAGCUUGUUGGUGGGGUAGUGGCUUACCAAGGCUUUGACGGGUAGCCGGCCUGAGAGGGUGACCGGGGACAUGGGGACUGAGAGACGGCGCAGAGUGCGAGGGGAGGGAGCGGGGGGGAAUGUGGGAAGGUGGGCGGAGGCGUGAUGCAGCGACGUCGCGUGCGGGAAGGCGGGCGUCGGGGUGAAGAACGAUUUAGCCUGUGAAGAAGCGGGAGGGACGGGAAUGGGAAAAGAAGCAACGGCUAACUACGGG